UAUACAGCACCCCUCAUCAACGCCCAAAAAUGGGGCGACGUGCUCCGUCUUGAGUGCACGAGUCAGGAGAAAGCCAGUCAAAGGGGCGCAUGCUGCAAUCGCGGCAUUCCUGCGUGCAUGUCCUGACGUGAGAGCUGGAUGGCAUCUCCUGCCGCUGUAAAUGUCUGUCGGUGAUACAGCACUCCUGUCAAAGCGAAAAAUGAAGGUUUCGCCCGCGCUCCAUUAGAUGGCUCUGUAGGUGUUUCACGCAAGCACACCAUUAGUGACAUUCCUACAACAGGAGCGCCGUAACAGUUCACCAUGAAAAGCUCAUGUGAAAAAGUGUGACACUUUCGCAAGCCUCCAGAAAUCCUGGAACCCAGGCAGCCCAGAGCACAAAGCAGGGGACACCCAGUCCAUCACAGGGCACAUACACACCAUCACACAUCAGACACCAGGUCACCUAGAUGCGUCUUUGAACCGUGGGAUGAAACCUGUACAAACAUGGGGAAGUUUGUUAUUUCUGGGGCCCUAAUCAAAAAAUCACUUCGGGGCCAUGCACCCUACCCCUAGUGUAGUGAAUGUGUUGGUCUACAGGGGGCCCCACACCUCAAGGGUCCUACAAAGUUGCACAGUUUGAGUGGCAGCAAACAGCACCACUGAAAUCCCCGUUGUAAUAAGCCUACAAAAGGAAUGUUGAAGUAUUUGAUUUAUUUACAUUUAAACAGAAAUAUGCAAUGACGGUGACCCACCUCCCCAAGAAAGAACACCCUCAUGUCUCUACUGCUGCUUCAACAGGCCUGGGGUAGCAGUUUCUGAUGCACGUUCUCAGAAUAAAGUGCUACAUAUUUACUGGCCCUGGUCUGUGUGCCUGAUCAUCUUUCAUACUAAAACCAGCAGUGGCUGACAGCGGGGGCCACCGUGGGCAGCCUACAGCCCCCCACCACCCAGCAACAUUGAUAACGUGCAGAUUGGUGUCUCAGGCAUCCAGGCAUGCAGGGCAGGAACGAAGGGCUGCAGCUCGUAAGCGCCGCUUCUGAUUGAUGCUAACAGGGCUUAUAAUGUCGUAACUCUCCCCUCAUGGCUUCUGAAUGCUUAAAAUAGGCCUUUCCAAUAGCUGUAUGUGCUUUGUUGGAUUAACACAUGCCUAUGCCAUACAUAGCACACACUUUGGUUGCCAGACAACAGAAAAUGUUGGACUGUGUGACCCAGUCUUCUACUUUAUAUUUAUUUGGCUUGGAUUCACCCAAUGUAUAUGAGUUUGCUGUGUCCCAGGGGUACAAAAUGCCUAUUUUCUUAUGAGCCCUUUGACUUUUUUCCGGUAAGAAAAGAAACAUAUGAUGUCAUUUCCUCUAGCACUUGUUUCGUUAGCCUCAUGCCUUCUUUACAGAGUGAGCUUAUGUUUCAUGACAUGAUUGAAAUCUGGUUGAUCAACCAUGCUGUUAUUUCCUGGCACAUUUAUUAUUGAUUGAGGACAACAAAUAUAUGGUCAUUUUACUAGCGCAGCAAUAUGGAACUGAUCCUGGAAAGAUGUUUAUAAUCAAUACAUAAAGUCGCAAGUGAAAUGCAUGUCAGUUCGAUGAGCCCGUUUUGGGGGAAUGAGUAGAGAGACAGGCACCAUUUCACGCCUGCUGUCUACUAUGGCCGGGGGUGACAAAUACCCACUAUGGUUUUGUGUCAGAAAACUGCAGGAUGUGAAAGGAAGCUCAGUGCUGUAGUAAAGUUCAGUGCAUGGAAACCUUGCAGGUCACUCCAUUUUGGUCCUUAACACAAAACCACCCGUACAGAUACUUUUGAGGUGUGAUCCUAGCAUGAAAUGACAAUAAUAAAUGUGAAGUCCUGCUGUGUUCAAUGGCCAAAAGCAGAACCGAUGGUAUCAUUUUUCAAAAUAAGUCAAAUUUUGCUACAAAGAUAAUCACCAUUUAUUUUUAAUUAACGAAUCGUUCUCACAUUAUGGCGAUCUGCAAAACACCCUUAAAUAAAAUGCGUUGAGUGCCACCUGACCUCAGAUUUCAGGUUUCCACUGUGCAGAGGAGCCAUGCUCUACUUCAUAAACAGCU